rnacentral:pre_miRNA from 1 species
UUUAAGUGGUAGUUGUAAAUUUCUGUGUUUAACUUUAAUCGGCUAUCUUAUUUAAUUUUUUUUUAUGAUUAGUAUUUUUGUUGUUGCUAGAUAAUAAAACAUAGUAGUACUUUAUAUAUAACUUAUUUCUUAAUUUUUUUUAUAAAAUUUUUAAAUAAAAUAAAUGAUCAAAUGAAUUAUGAAAACUCGUGACUGCAUUUAAA